AACACUGGCAGGCAAAAGGCACCGUUGUUAUUCUUUUACCAAAGAGGCUCAGUACAUGCAAACGGCUUACCCAGAUGUGUUUACCCAGGUCUUUGCAUGACUCCUGGUUUUGUAAAUGCAGCCUCAUGUCUAGUUAAAGCAAAAACAUAUUGCGGGAUAGGUUCUGUUUUAGACAAAGUCUUUUUAAAAUUUAUUUGUCUUUCCACACGGCCUGGGAUGUUCUGGAACUCACUAUGUAGAGCAGGCUGUCCUCAUAUUCAUGGAGAUCUGCCUGCCUCUGACUCCCAGGCGUUAGAAUUAAAAGCGGGUGCUGUUAUUGUCAGCUAAAAUAAGCUUUUUUUUUUUUUUGAGACACUCUCUGCUGUGUCCCAGGCUAGCCUCCAACGCCCUAUCAGAGCUCAAGAUGACCGUGAACACCUGUUUUUCCUGCCUCUGAAGGUUCUCUGUGGAUCUCCUGCUGUGGAUUGGGCAUAAGGUUUUCUGCGAGCUAGGCACACACUCUACAAAAUCAGUUGCUUAUUUAUUUUUAAGUGUAUGCGUAUUUGUGUGUGUGUGUGUGUGUGUGCAGUGCCUGAGAUGUCAGAAGAGAGCACUGGAUCCCCUGGAAUUGGACCUAUAGAUAGCUGUGAGCACCAUGUAGGUGCUGGGAAUCAAACCCAGGUCCUUUGAAAGAGCAACCAGAACUCUUACAGAAUGAGCCCAGACAGUCUUACUGUGUAGCCUAGGCUGGCCUUGAAUUCUGAUUCUCUCGCCUCACCCUCCUGAGUUAUGGGGCCUCAGGCAUUCAAUCCGUAAUCACCUUAGGUAAUUUUCAUUUAUUUAUUUUAUCUGUAUUCGUAUUUUGCCUUCUGUCUGUAUACCGCAUGUAUGCCGGAGGCCCUCAAAGACCGGAAGAGGACGUCAGGUUGCCUGGAGUCAGAGUUGUGAGCCACCGUGUGGCUGCUGGGAAUUGAACUCUGGUCUUCUGGAAGAACAGCCAGUGCUCUUACUCACUAAACCAUCUCUCCAGCCUGUAGAUGAAUAAUUUUUGAGCAUUUCAAGCUCCCUGUAGAAUAUGAUGUGCAGGCAGAACAAUGUGUGUGCUCAUACCCGGGCUUUUGUUUUGUUUCUUUGGAAACAAGGUUUUGCGGUUUAGCCUUGAACUUGCCGUGUAUCCCAGGCUGAACUCAGAUUCACCGCAAUCCUCCUCCCUCUCCCUGCCGUGUGCUGGAUACUGGCAUUAUAAGGAUGUCCCAUAAUGCUGGGCCAUACCUGUGUGUUCGUGUGUGUGUGUGCGUGUGUGCGUGUAGUUAUCCUAUUUAUGCCUAUGUGCCUAUGUGAAUGAACUCAAGUAUGUGCAGGUGUCUGAGGAGGCCCAGCACCUGCUCAGUGGGUGUUCUGCUGACCUACGCUGAGGUCUUUAAUGAUCUACCUCACCUUCCAAAGUGAGGUGCCCACUCGAGUCUUAGGCUAUUUUCCUCCUGGUUUUGUGAAUUUUAAAAUGUGGGUGCAUGUGGAAGUGACCCCAGAGAUCAGCCUCAGGUGUAGCUCCUCAGGCAAUGCUCAGUUUCAAAAGUAAAGAGACAAGUUCUCUUAUUGGCCAGCCAGUAAGCUUAGCCCCAGAGAUCCUGCUGUCUCUGCUUCCCUACCGUUGGGACUAUAAAUCUGUGCCCAGAUUUUUGACAUGGGUUCUGUGGAUGGACCACGGGUCCUCAUGCUUGCACACAAGCACUUUACCAGCUGAGCUAUGCUGGGCCCACGGUUUUGCUAGUUUUUCUGCAGGCAGCUUUCUUACAGGUUUUUAGAUUUUUUUUGUACUUAUUUGUUAUUUCUGCAGUACACACGCAUAUCACUCCAGUCCCUUGCACAAUUUACCACUGAGUAACACACAUACCUAGACACGUUUGCUUUCUUAUUUACCAAUAUUCUAUGCUCUUUUAAUAAGAGCAUAGAGUAGUACACUCAAUGUUUGUGCCUUUUUCUUCUUCUUCUUUUUUUUUUUUUUCUCAAGACAGGGCUUCUCUGUGUAGCGCUGGCUGCCCUAGACUCACUUUGUAGACCAGGUUGUCCCGGAGCUCACAGCCCUUCUCCUGCCUCUGCCUCCCUGAGUGCUGGGAUUAACUGCGUGCGCCACUACGCGGCAAUGUUUGUGUCUUUUAUUAAGCCUUUUUUUUAACCUGAGAGACGUAGGCAUUCCCCUGUGCUGUCACCCCGAGCUUCACGUGCUUCCUUCACUUUCAGGUCGACAAAAUUCUCGUGGGAUUUACUGCUGUGUGCUUGGCGUAAAUUAGAGAGGAAUCCGAUUUCGUAUUUUUCCAUAUGAACGAUCCGAUGUCGAGUAGGUCUUUUCCCCUGCUCUGCUGUGCUACCUUUCAUUAUUAUUUAUUUGUGUGUGUGUGUGUGUGUGUGACACUUUUGGUAUGGACUGUCUAUGGGGGAGGGGCUGUUUCUUGGUUCUCGACUCUGACCCGUCGGUAUGUUCACCUCUUCAGCGUCCAGCUGACAACAAGCAGCUUUAUCGUUCCGUCCCUCCUCCUCUCACGCCUUGACAUUUUUCUUUUCAAAGCCGAUCCAUUCGGGGGCUCGGAGCAGCGCGUGGGUCGGGUCCGGAAGGGGCGUGCUCAGAGGAUUAACAGCACCGAGGAGGUGAGGCUCCUUCUCGUUCCCAGGGCACCCUCCCCGGGGUGGGAGCCUGGGCCGCGGUGCCCAUCCCUCCGUGGGGAGACGGCGAUGCGUCAGCAGGCGCCCUCGUCCCCGGCCCCGCGGGGGAAGCCACGUCUCACACGCGCGACACCAGCGCGGAGGGCAGUCCUCCCCGAGCGUCCUUUCCCCGCGGCCCCACGCCCGCGCGAUGCCGCCGGAGGAGCCCUGAGGCGAGUUCCGUCCUCCGCUCCGAGAAGCGCCCGGGGACGGUGAGCCACGGAGACGCCCGGACCACCACACGGGUCUCUGACCUCUAAUCGCACAAACCUCCGGGAGCCACUCGCUCCCGACCAAUCAGGAUUCCCCUGGCGCCGCUAUGCCCGCCCUCCGGCCCCGUCCGGCUACCUCAUUCGCGGCUCAUAAAGCAAUCCGGCCGUUCGUUCUGCACGCCAGCCAAUCAGAGGACAGGGGGGCGGGGACUUCCAAGCGCGCCUGAGUGCGGCCGUCCCCGGACAGGAGAGCCUCGGGAUCCUUCGGCUCCUUUCGUUUUCCCUCCAGGGCAAAGUUAUAUUCAGUCGUUCCGUCAACACGUUUAUUUUUCCGCCCGGCUCGGCGCGCGUGCGCAGUGCCUGCCAGCCCAGGCUGUUCCUGAGAUGUAAGACCCGAGAAGGGAAGCUGAACGGCCAUCCUGCAGAUCAUUGCUCAGCUGGCCUUGGUGGUCAACGGAGACAACCCCACCCCCACAAACUUGUAUUGAGACAGAAGACAGACCCAAUGAAAACAGCUCUGCCUUCCACUUCGGAAGCUUAAGAUGCCACCCACAUGCAAACGGAAGAGCUACGCAGUAGUGCAGUCUAUUUGCUGUGUGACAUUGUGUUAGUCAGGGUUCUAAAGGGUAACAGAGCUUAUAGAAUGAAUAUAUAUAUUAUUAAUAUAACAUGUUAUAUAAACAUAUUAUAUAACAGUAUUGUGAAUGAAUGUAUGUAUACAUAAGAGGGAGCGAGGAAGAUGGAGUCAUGAACCCAGGAAACAGACUCCAGAGACCAGCGUCGAGGUGCAGAUCUAUUUUAUUGUGAAGCAGCAAGCCUUUUUAUACGACCUUUGGGCCAGUGGGGAGUUGACAGGAGCUUUGGGGUAGCCAACCAUCCCACUGUCACUUCGAGGAGAUAGCAGGCCUGCAGCACCUGAAGGGACUUCCUUAUGGACCAGGAAAGCAGCCACUGCCCUGCUCCGGGCACAUUUUGAGGUUCUGGUAGAUUGCUAGGAUCAUCUGUUUUGUGUCAGGAGAUAGGCCAGCAGAUAUGGGCACUUGGACCAUAGAGUGGUGUGGAAGCCUCUCUCACUGUCUGACACCGGUCCCUACCCAGGGUCCACAGCACCCACAAUAUAAAUGUAUAUAUUUAUAUAAAUAUCUCAUAAAUAUAUUAAUAUAUGUCCAAUUAAAGGUAUGUCUUCCCACCUCAAGAUCUGGAUGAAAAGUGGAUCUUAACUAUUUCAAAUAAAACAAAAUCCCUCACAGGCGAGCCCUCCGUUUUUGGAUUUAGUCAAGUUGACGUCCAAAAUAAGCCUCAUGGGUCUUACUUCCUUGAGGAAUUCAAUGUUUUGCAAGUCUGGGUGACACCAGCACUGUGCCCAAAGCAAAUGCACUUACUCUCCAGGCUCAGUGUUCGUGUGUUCCCAUGUGUUCAUGCAUGAACCUGUCUUUAGCUUGAUUGGUUGGACUUGGACAGGAUCCAGAGACUAAUACUCAGAAGCCAUAGAUUUUAGAAUUGGAUCCAAUUCUGGUGGUGUCUCUGACACCCAUUGACCUUAGUGCCAUAGGGCAGCCAUGCCAUGGCCACUGACUCCUCAAGUGACAACCCAAGCAAACGGGCCUUUCUGGGUUCUUGGUCACCCCAGGCCCCUGGAUUCCUGGCCACUUUCCUGAGCUUGUUUCAUCCACCCCCUUCUAGUGCUAUGCGCUAUCCACCAUCCUUCUGGUAAGUUCCUCUUCUGUAUAAUGCAUGGCAUCCUUUACCCAUGCAUGCAGUCAAGAACAUGGUUAGCCCAAGCCCCCAAAAGCUUCGUUGUCAGCAGCGUGGCCAUUUGUCUUUAUAACUCUUACAUACUAUCAGAAGAAACACUAAAUGUUUUCUGUUUUGAGGAAUAAACCAUUCCAACCUUGUACUUCUGUUAGGGGUUACUGUCCUUCAAGGCUGAGCCUGAACACCAGCCAUUUUUAGGCCUCAGUUUUCUUGCUUGUUUCUUACAAAGGUUUUAGGUAGCAUAAGCCUAUAAUCUCAGCACUGUGAGGUUUUAGGUAGCAUAAGCCUAUAAUCUCAGCACUGUGAGGCCACUGGCAGGCUGCUCUCUGUGAGUUCUAGGACAGCUAGGGCUACAUAGAGAGACUUGCCUGCCCACAAAUGGUCCUAUGACUCACACAGGACAGACACAAUGUCACAGUCUCCCCCACCCCUGUCCUCUCUCCCUCUCUAGGGUUUCACUAUGCCCCACAACUUGCUAUGUAGACCAAAGAUCAAAGACAUCAACUGGCCUGGUGUGAUUUCUCAAGAGCUAGUGUAGGUCAGGAUUAUGUCCCUACAGCGGGUAGGCCACAGAUCCUUCUGUGUUUACAAGAGUGACAGUGACUCCUACUGCUGUGGAUAGAAACAGGUUUGUUUUGGUCCCAGGUGUGGGAUGUGGGACUGAUUCAAAUAGUCCACAACAGCAGACUGCCUCAUGGGGGCUUUGAGAAGAGCUCUGUGCCAGCUGCAGGUAGUUUAAAUCUGAGGACUCUGGAGAGGGGAUAAAUGCCAGAGCCCAGAGAGUGGAGAGGACAAAGAUCAAGGCUGCUGCUGCUUUCCCCCUUGCUGCUCCUAGUUGCUGCUAUGAGACAAGAAGGUGGAGAUUGGGCUGGAGAGAUGGCUCAGAAGUUAAGAGCACUGUCUGCUCUUCCAAAGGUCCUGAGUUCAAUUCCCGGCAACCAUAUGGUGGCUCACAACCAUCUGUAGUAAAAAUCCGAUGCCCUCUGCUGUCCUGAGGCACACAUGCAGGCAGAACACUGAAUAAUAAAUAAAUCUUUAAAAAAAAAAAAAAAAAAAAAAGGUGGAGAUCUCCUGAAAUGAGGAUUGGACCGGCUCCAAGGAACCCGACAGCCCUGACAAGCAGGAAGCACCUAAGAGAACUGUACUCCUUCUCCCACCAACCCUUUCUCUCUCCUACCUGGUGUUGGGGUGUUAGAAGGGAUUGGGAUGGAGUAGGGAGAAAAAGAUAAAAGAAAUGAAAUGUAAAUCAGUUUUGGUUUUUUGUUUUUUUUAAAGUAUGCCAUCUCGGUGACAUUAAAGGAUUGCUCUCCUUGUCUUUGCUUGCUGCAGUUAGAGGAAAGGGAUUCAGUUUUUCCACCCACUGUCUCCAUUUGAUGUGGCUGGGAAAUCUCAGAGUAGGCCCUAGAGCUUGCUAGUCUUUAAAUAUGGCUACUGUCUUACCCGACUUGGUGACUGAACUGCUUGCUAGGGACAUAGGAGCACCCGAAGGAAGAAAUGUUCUCAUUUUGGGCCCAGAGACUCUUAAUACCAUACUGUCAUGUGACACUACCCUUAGGAAGGUGUGAACAAACAUAACUCCAAUUAGGGAACCAAUGACAGAGCAAAAUAAGGACUCUACUCAAGCCCAAUAUAGUGGACCAACGAGUUUUAUUGGGAUUACUUACAGACAUAUGGGUGAGGGUUUAUUACAGAAAAGGAAAUGACUCAAAAGACAGCUGUACCAUGAGAGCUCACCAUGUCACAAAAGAAGUAAACUUGGAGUCUUCUGUACCAUUUGCAGGCAGCUUGACAGGUUAGAAAACGUCUGUUGCAGGGAGCUCAGCUUGGCUGAGAAUGCCUCUUAGCACCUUUUAUCUACUUGGGAGGGAGGGGCCUACUGUGUCUGGUAGGUUUCAGGGACUUCCUGAAGCCUUUGGGUUGAAUGUAAUGUUUCACAUCCCUUGAGAACAUUUAGUGCUCCUGGGGAAGAGGGGUUACUGGAUUGUAGAGGAAUUUUAAUACAGAAGAUGGCCAUCCUGGCAAGAGAUCACAUCCAAAGACCUUCUAGGUUUGUGUGAUAUGGCUGGAAUACAAACAUACCUUUAAUCCAGGAGACAGAGGCAAGCAGAUCUGAAUUCAAGGCCAACCUGGUAUAGAGCAAGUUUCAAGUAAAGAAAAGCUUAGAUCCAGGUGUGGUGGUACAUACCUUUAAUCCCAAACAAUGAAAGUAAAGAUAGUUUGUAGAAGGAAGCACCCAUGUUUGAAAGUGACACCUAAUUGAGUGGCAGAAGAGGUGACAAAUCAGAGAAAGAUUUGACAAAAUAGGAUAACCCAACUCAGGAGAAGAGAGGGGAACUAUUGAGGGAGCAACACAGAGAAUGAGAGAAAAGGUAGCUUUUACUGGGAUAGUUUUACAGAGAGAGGUUGAAUAAGCGGAUAAGCUAGACACAGGUGAAGACCAAAUGAGUGAGCCGGCGAAUGAGAAGGAGCCAGAAGAUUAGAAAAGAUUGCUCCAGUUAGUUUGAUGCCAACUAGAGCAAUUCAGGGACUGAGAGAGAAGCCAGAUUGAAUAAAUCACCUGGGAGAGGAGUUUGAAGCAGAACAGCUGAGUUGAAUCAGACAGCCCAGAGCUCAGUAAGAACAAGAAAGGGUGAGUUUAUUAAGCAGCAAGUUUGAGAGGCUGAAAACCCUAAGACAGUGCGCGGAGGCUAGAAGCUUCCAGGACUAGGCCUAGGUUAGCAGAAGGAGGUAGUAAGCCCCUGAGACAAUGGAAACAGACAAAAGUUCCUUUUACACUAGAUCAUAGUUUCUCUCUCCUGGAGAGAUGGUUCUAGAUCUUGAAGUAGAGAAGGCACUGUGCUUGGGCAUGCUGAUGAUAAUCCUGUCAAACUGGAGGAUGGCGUAGUUGCUGCCAGAGUGCCUGGAGUUACAGACUGCAGCCACGCCUUGCUUUGUGUUCUGGGAAUCUGGACUCAAGUCCUCAAGCUUGGGCAGCUUCUGAGCCAUUUCCCCAGCCUGAUUUGGGUUUUGUUUUUAAAUAUUAAAAAAAAAAAUUCAUCAAGCCGGGUGCACACCUGUAAUCCCAGCACUCUGGGAGGCAGAGGCAGGCAGAUCUCUGUGAGUUCAAGUCCAGCCUGGUCUAUAAAGUGAGUCCAGGCCGCCAGGGCUACACUGAGAAACCCUGUCUCGAAAAAUCACAAAACAAACAAAAUGCUCAGUCUAUAGCCCUGGCUGGUGGAUCUCUGAAUUCAAAGCUGGCAUUAGCUGGUCUCCCUCACCCCUUCCCUUUCCAUCCUCCUCUUCAGUGUUCGGCUUUUUUUUCUUCUUCUUUUUUGUUUGUUUGUUUUUCUCCAGACAAGGUUUCUCUGUGUAGCCUUAGCUGUCCUGGAAUUUAGCUCUGUACACUAGCCUGGCUUCAAACUCACAGAGAUCUGCCUGCCUCUGCCUUCCUGAGUGCUGCCACCACCGGGCCCCUGUCUUUGUCUCUUAUUCCCUGCUCUUUGCCCCUCCAGGGCAGAUAAUCUUUGUGCUGAGAACUUGGCCUUGGGGUAUCUCCAGCCAACUUCGAGGUCCCUACAACAGCUCCAGCUCCUGGCUACUUUGUCCCCCUGUUCCUCUUGUUGGGAGUCUGCUUUUGGUAUCCCUAAUGACCAGUCCUUUUUUCUUUUUCUUUUUCUUUGUUGUUGUUGCUAGCAGCCAGUCUGUUUAUUUGAACUUCCUGUCCCUUGCACCUUUAAGUGGAGCACUGGAGACGGUUCUUGAAGUAGUGGAGCGCAAGCUUGAAUUGGACCUGAGAAUUGGUGUUGGUGCGGAUGGGAUCAAAACCAACUCUUCGGAGUUGCUCUGUGUGAGCCAAGAAGAAGUUGGUAACGCCACUGGCCACCGUGCAUCCGGGGAAGCCGUCCAGGGCCCGGAACGCUCCCCACCUCUGGUGAAGGCAGUCUCCGUUCUCACUCUGUUCCAACAACAGCCUGAACUGGAAAGUGUUCCCCUGCACGCUGCCGCCCACCUAGGCCACAAACAGAAACCGGGGUCUGAGCAGGCUCAGUACUCUUCCCCUCUAGGAAGCCUCGCUCCACCGCACCCCCAUGGGAGUAAAUGCUGUACUCUAUGGAGCUAGCCUCCUCAGGGCCCUCAGAGGCUCUGCCCUUCCUGCACUGCUCCUGGGUCCUUCAGAUCAUCGAAUCCCUAUCUCCACAUACAGGCACUCACAUACAAAUGUGUAUACAUACACAUACACACUUGCUUUAUAGCCAAGGCUGGCCUUGAACUCCUGCUUCCACAGGCGUGCACCAGCACACACAGUGUAUAUCUUUAGGGGUUUGGGUUUUGUUGUUGUCUUUGAGGUAGGGAUCUAUUUUGUAGAUCAGGCUGGCCUUGAACUCACAGAGAUCCUCCUGCCUCUGUCUCCCCAGUGCUGGGAUUAAAUACAUGUCCAACUGUAUUUUUAUACUUAAAAAACAAAACAAUGUCAUGGGGUGGAGGGUAGAGAGUAGUUAAAAGCACUUGUUCUUGCAGAGGACCAGGUUCUGUUCCCAUCUGGCACCCACACGGCAAUUCAUAUCCAUCUGUAACUCCAGUUCUGGGAUAUCCAGCACCACGAGUUCACAGAUACAUAGGCAGCAAAACAACUAUACACAUAAAAUAAAAUAAAAUAAAAAAAAUCAGUAAAUCUAAAAAAGCUUGGGACCAAAGAAGAACACAGUUCUCUUAAACCUCAUAUAGUCCAAGAAAAUCAGAAAUGAUGCGUAAACGGGCUGUUUUGAAAAUUGAACAACUUCAGACUUUUUUAGUGUGGUGUAUAAAAUCUGCUCAAGGGAAGCCAUUGGGGAGUCAAAAGCAGAACGCACGUGCUCUCCAGCCUUCCUGCGAGGCCCUCUCCUGCCUUGUCCUCCUCUCUGCUCCUCCCUCAGACACUGGCGUUCCUUUCUCUUCCUCUGUCCUUUCCCCUCACCUCAGGCUACAGCCGGCUGAACUUGGCCUUUGAACCUUACCACAUCCAGUUCAGUUUUCUCCAGGACAUCCACCAGCACCUCAAUCUUGGUGUUGUUGUUGAAGAGAAAGUCAUCAUCUACCCAGAGGACAUAUUUGGUGGUCACCUGUGAGAUGGCCAGGUUUCUACCAGCAAACCAGCCCUGUGGGUAGCAUGGGGUUAGAUCAGCAGCUGUCCCCUGGCAGGGUGAGGCUUUCGGAAUUCCCAGUGGCCAGGCUGCCUCCCACCAUGGACAAAGUUGGAGUGUGUGAGAUUCCACAGUUCAGACAACUACUGGGUCAAAGGAGUCCACCUCAGAGAAUCAUGUUAGGGACAGCAACCUUCUGGAUCAGAGGCUGAGACAAAGACUGGAAAGCCCCUCCUUGGACCAGUGGCCUCUGUGUAUAGGCUGGAGUCCUUUCUCACCAUACAGUUUCCUUCUACUUCCUGGGAGAUGGUGGUUUGGGGAACGUCUGCUAUCAGUGAUAUCCCUCCCUCUUCUAUCCUUGGUGGAAGAUGGGAAGGAAAGAGGGAGGGAAGGAAGCAGACAAGGAGGGAGGAAGGGAGAGCCUAGCUUGGGCACAAUCCCAGGGAACAAAAGGCUGCCGUUAACCCACACACAAUCAGAUGUUAGCUCCCUUAAGUCACUUAAAAGAACCCCUGUAAGGAGCUGGAGAGAUAGCUCAGAGGUUAAGAGCACUGGCUGCUCUCCCAGAGGUCCUCUGAGUUCAAUUCCCAGCAACCACAUGGUGGCUCACAACCAUCUAUAAUGAGAUCUGGUGCCCUCUUCUGAUGUGAAGGCAUACAUGCAGAUAUUGUAUAUAUAAUAAAUAAAUUAAUUUUAAAAAA